rnacentral:tRNA from 1 species
UGUUCUGUGGCUUAGUUGGUUAAAGCGCCGGUCUAGCGAAUACGGAGUCGUGGGUUCGCAUCCCACCAGAACGC